rnacentral:pre_miRNA from 1 species
CAUCUUACGAGGCAGCAUUGGAUUUCAUCACUUUCUCUAAUACUGCCUGGUAAUGAUGAU